GACGAACGCUGGCGGCGUGCCUAAUACAUGCAAGUAGAACGCACAGUUUAUACCGUAGCUUGCUACACCAUAGACUGUGAGUUGCGAACGGGUGAGUAACGCGUAGGUAACCUGCCUGGUAGCGGGGGAUAACUAUUGGAAACGAUAGCUAAUACCGCAUAAUAUUGAUUAUUGCAUGAUAAUUAAUUGAAAGGUGCAAUUGCACCACUACCAGAUGGACCUGCGUUGUAUUAGCUAGUAGGUGAGGUAACGGCUCACCUAGGCGACGAUACAUAGCCGACCUGAGAGGGUGAGCGGCCACACUGGGACUGAGACACGGCCCAGACUACUACGGGAGGCAGCAGUAGGGAAGCUUCGGCAAUAGACGAAAGUCUGACCGAGCAACGCCGCGUGAGUGAAGAAGGUUUUCGGAUCGUAAAGCUCUGUUGUAAGAGAAGAACGGGUGUGAGAGUGGAAAGUUCACACUGUGACGGUAUCUUACCAGAAAGGGACGGCUAACUACGUG
rnacentral:rRNA from 1 species